ACAGGGCUGAGGACUGCCCCCGUGCCCCCUGUUCCCAAUCCCGUCCCCCUGUGACCCGCUCCCACCAAAUGGCUGCCCCCCCCCGGCUCCGGCAGGGCUCUCCACACAACGGAGGGGCUGUGUGACCUGCCUGCUCCCAACUUGGUUGCUAUAGGAAAGGGAAGAGGCUGGAGAGAAUGUGUGGGGCCUAUUCACACCCCCAACCCCGAUUCACAGUGCCCCUGAGGUUCGCUGUCAGCAGAGUGGGAAACAAAGGCACCACAUUGUCCCUUAUGGAGAAUAGAGAAGAAAAGAGGUCAAAGGCCUGAAGCUGUGAGAAGAGACGUGUGUUGGCAAUGGUGUGAGCUAUUUGUGUGCUGUGGUGAGGCCUCAACACCACUGACCAUGUACAUACAACAGCCUGGGUGUUUGAACUCCACCCUGUGAGGAUUCACUGCAGCACCUGACAUGGAGAUCACCAGGUGCCCAAGGUAAAUUCACAGAUAUUCUGGGAGAAUAUGUAAUCAAACCAGUUCUUUACAACCCUAAUCUAAACAGCCUCCAGGAAGCAAAUAAAUGGUUAAGAAGACAGGCCAAAAUGCUAAAGGAGAAAGCAACAUUUACUCGUGGCCAAGUUGUAGUGGGAAAGACUGCUGUGUAUACUCACUAAGCGCUGAUCCGUGACCAUGUGGCUCUUUGUAUUAUGUCUAAGAAGGAAAGAAAAACAAGAAAUGGUGACCAGAGUGGGAUUAUAAUCCAGGAAUACAGUGGCUGCUAAAAAGCUAAAGAGGAAACCACAGAAUAGUGGCUUCUGUUAAACCCGUGGGUGAAAUUGUUGCUUAGAUGAUGGAAGUUAUCCCAAAUCCUCUCUCCAUAAAGGUACUUGUGAUGGUCUUGUGUUUAGGCUCCUAAAAAAUGCAA